UCCCUUCUAUCAGGUCCAUGCAUAGCUCUUUGUUGUACUGUGAUCUCUGUAAGCAAUGACCUCAAGUAGUCUUUAAAAAUGAACAAUACAAAACAAUAACAGCAAACUGAAUUUAACUUGCCAGGCAAGAAAGCAUACAAGUGAGGGGAGGGGUGGGAUUCACUAAGUGGGCAAAUUAAAGGUAUCUAACCGCUAGAAAGAGUGAAAGUAUGUUAUGUCAUUUCUUCUUAGUUAUGCUUAAUGUGAUUGAAAAGUCGUUUUCUGGUUAGGAAGGAAGAAGUCUAGGGAUCUUCAUACCAAUGAUUCAAACAAGAGGCAUUGUCACUGGUCAGUCCAGUGACAUAGUGAAUUCAGUCAAAGAUCCCUAAUAGCUUUUGCUGGUAAUAAUGCUUGUGAUAAAACACAGCAGUCAGUUUUCACAUUUCCUAUUCAAGGGCUGUUCUAGGUAGAAAAACUUACUCUACACCUGUAAAUUAAAAUUCAAGUUAUGUACCUUUAACACAUCCAAUAUGCAAUUGUACAGAGGUAAUGAGUAACCCAUUUCACAACCCGCAUUCGGAAAAGGAAGAAUGGGAAGCACAAGGCAGUCAUUAGUUGGGGAAGGAAUGAAGGCUCCUUUCACUGGCAGUAUAGUUAAUUCCUGUUAGACCAUCUGUUAGUGCCUGGAUUUGUUCUCUGGCGUGAGUUACCUUAUUCAUUUUUCUCCAUGGCCUCUGGAUCCUUCUUUCUGGAAGGUUUAUUUUUGUCCAUUAUACUCUCUGUCCACAUGUGAAGUUGGCAAUGAAACAGAUGUCCUUUUUAGAGGCUGAAUGGCUUUAAAAUGGCAAUUAUAUUGAUGUAGGUUUGUUGGCCUAAAAAUGAUUUUGAAGGGUUGCAGGCUAGUCUUGCAAAAAUUUUUGUUUUGUUUUGUUUUGUUUAAAUUUUUGCAGCAGAAUUCUCAACAACAACAAUUUUAGAACACUUCACUUUGCUCUUUCUGAUAGCCUUUUGAUCCUAUAUAGACCUGUUAGGUCUGAAGCUGUGAAGAGUUUCAGAUGUUGCCCUAUUUUCACAGUCAUAUAGAUAGAUAGAGACAGAUAAAUAGAAAGAUAUAGAUUUAAAUGGGUAUAAAGAUUGGAGGAUGGAUAGAGAGAUUGAUAAAAAUACAUACACUCACACACGCACACACAGUAGCAGAAAUAACAGAUAAUAAUCAGAGACAAAAAAACCUACUUUAUUUACUUUCAGAAUGCCUAGUGCUCUUGCUGUAUCCCUCAUGGGGCUUUGUAAUGAGAGGCAAAUGUUCCGUGAACACACAGAGUGGUCGGCACGACAGGACAGGGACUCUGAAAUGAUGAAUCAUGAAGCUUAUAUAGGUGCAGAUGCAUUUCCUGCUCCCCUCUGGCGUUAAGAGAAAGAGCUUAUCUUUUAUUCUGGAGUGUAAACACAUAUCCUCCUGCGAAAGAAGGAGCAAUUUUACAACCAGGAAUGUAAACCUUGGCUUCUGGAGAGAUAAGAAAGGCUUUAUUAUCCUUUGAACAGGAACAGGUGUCUCUGGUCAAAGGUGUAAAAAGGUUCCAUGUAUCUACCAACUUUAGACUGCAAAGAGCAGAUGGUAUUGGGGGAAAAGAAAAGGAGACAUGUUCUGUCAUUUUAAGAUGCAAAUUUCUGUUGCUUCUGAGUCUAGACUAAGUGGUAGCACCAAGCAAUCAAGAGAGGAUUGCCUUACAUUGAUCUCCUUACCAGAUGAAAUUUUAAGUCUGAACACUUACAUGAUUUGGGUUCUAGUCACAACCUCAUCUCUCCUGGUUUUGUGCUAAAUAACCAGAAAUCCUUUAAAAGGUGAGGGGCGGAGUGUGGGGUGAGACAGGAAUCCACAUCAGAUGUUUUACCCAGGCUGCUUUCCUUAGCUUGGCUAACUCAUAAUGACAGGCACUGGAAAAAGAUCAGAGUCACAGCUUUAUCUUUUGCUAAUGCUUUACCUUGGGAGCUGCUUCCCUGUACAAUAAAGAAGCAGUUGGCUUUUCAACCCAGAAAUAUGCCCCAUCACUGGACUGCUGUUAAUAAUUAAGUGUCUACUGUCUUCAGAGGUCUUCCUUGACAGAGCUACGCUCCUCUUCAUUCUUCUCAUCUCUCUUAGCAAGGGUUUCCGCAUAUGCUAAUUUACUCUUUCUUUUCAGAUUUUCCUGCUAGUGGCAAGAAUAUUUAACAUAUGAUAUGCUGUGAUUACCUCUGUGUUAGUUUGCUAGGUCAUUCAUCCCACAGCCUGGGUGGCUUAAACAACAUAAAUUUGUUUCCAAGAUCAAGUUAUCAGCUGGGCUGAUUUCUUACGAGACAUUUCUCUUUCCCUUAGAGAUAGCUGUCUUCACAUGGUCAUUCCUCUGUUUUGAGUCUAUUUCUUAAUCUUCUGUUGUAAGGACACAAGGCAUAUUGGAAGAGGCUCUACUCUAAUGACAUUAUUUUUAAUUAAUUACCCAUGGAAGUAAUUUAACCUCCACAUACCCUUACAUUCUGAGGUACCAGAAUGAGGUACUUCAACAUACACAUUUUGAAGAAACAUAUACCAGCCCAGAGCAAUUUCUUGUAACUUAUUAUCAUACAACUCCACUUGCACCUGAUCUGCCUUCUGAGGGAAAUAGGAUUUUUACCGUAUUUUACUAUUGCAUUAUAAGUUCAUAAUGAGAGUCCUUGCCAUCUGCUGCUGGACAAUUUCCAUCAAGCCAAUGACACGUAUUCUCUUACUUCCAGCAACCUAGUUCCAAAUUAAAAAUAAAUAAAUAAAUAAAUAACUGUAUCAGUCAAGAUUAGCUUCAUAUGUGAACGUCAAAGACAUCUCUUUAAAAUGGUAUAAAUGAAAUGCACAAUCUCACUUAAAUGGUCUUGAGGAGGUAGUACAGGCUUGUAAACUGGUUGAAUGCCUGUUUCCCAAGGAACAUAGUUCCUUUUAAUCUUGUUGCUCCUCUACUGUGGUUUUACUUAUAAGGUUAACAUUACGUCUGCAUCUCAACCACUGGGAAAGGAUGAAGGGUGAAAUGGUCUUUAUAUUUACUCUUUCAGAGAAUAUUUGUGGAAUUUGCCAUGUGGUAAUUCUACUUGUUUUCCAUCAGUUAUAAUUUAGUAACAAAGCCACACCCAGCUACAAGGGAAGCUGAGGGAUUUUGCCUUUCUUCUAGGUGACCAAAUGCCCUGACUGAAGCAGAGGAGCAUGAAUAUUGAGUGUUGGGAGCAACCAACAGACUCUAAUAUACAAAUGUUUGUAUUCAUGUGGGAGAUGAGUGAAAAAUGAUAAUUAUUUUUUGCAAUGCCCCUUUGACCCAGGGAGAAAAUAAGGCAAUUGAGAGAGAUGAGAUGAAGUCAUCUAACAACAUGAAAGCUGGUGGAGAUACUUUAGAAUGUGUGGCAGCAAGUGAGAGUAACUGGAGAAAUUUGAUCUAACUAGAUUUCCAGAGCACUUAUUACUUUCUAAUGCAGAUCUCUCCAGCACCUCUCCUAUGUGCUCAUUCUCCCUUUGUACAAUGAUUAGGAAAAUAUCAUUUUUAUAACUAUAUUGAUAUGGUAUUUUGGUUCCAAUGAUAUUUUGAUACAGCUCCUUUAUGAAAUAUUUCAAAAGAUUUUUUUUUUUUUUAGAGAAAAACAGCAGUAACUAUUUCAGUUUAAGGAAAUCCUACAGAAAUAUAUAAACUAAUCAUCAUCAUUACAAACCAGUCUUAACUUUUGUGAAGAUAAAUCCAGGAGAAAGCGGAGGAUAGAAAUGAAGUAAGGCUAAGUUAGGUGCUACGGGAUGAUGUUAAAGAUGAGAAGGGAGUUAGUCACUGUCCAGAAGACAAACCCUAAGACUUUACUACGUUUUCCUUCUUGGUCUCUUUCACUAGUUCAUUUUCCUCUUGCUAAAAUGCUACGGUACUCCAGGGCAAGGCUCACCAGUCUCAUCCUAUUUAUUUACACCAUUUUAAUAGGGUACCUCAAACAGUUCAUAUCUUUAAAUAUCAUCAAUGUGUCAGUGUUCCUAUAUUUAGUUUUCUGUGAUUGGUGUCUCCACAGACCUUUAGACUCGUGCAUCAAACUUCCUACAUGAUUUCCCAUUUAAAUAUUUGUUUGUUCGUUUGUUUGUUUGGUUUGUAUGUUUAUUUUAUGGCUGCACCUGCAGCAUAUGGAAGAGUUCCCAGACCAGGGACUGAAUCUGAGCUGUAGCUUCAACCUAUACCACAGUUGUGGCCAGAUCCUUUAACUCACUGUGCUGGAUCAGGGAUUGAACCUACACCUCUGCAGCAACCCAAGCCACUGCACUUGGAUUCUUAACCCACUGUACCACAGUAGGAACUCCAUAAACAUCUUAUAUUAAAUGUAUCUUAAAUAAAAAUAUUGAUUAUCAGCUUCAGAUAACAAAAUGUUCUUUCUCAGUUGUGUUAGCCCAUGCCUUCAAAGAAGCAGAAACCUAUAUGAGAGUAAAUGUGCAAGAUUUUAAGAGAGAGCAUUACUUCCCUGUAAUAACAAAUUAACACAAACUUGGUGCUUUAAAAGAAAAACAAUUUAUUUUCUAGCAAUUUUGGAAGGCAGAAGUCCAAGGACUCACUGCCUCUGGACACUGCAGAUAUAAUUCCAUCCUUUGACCCUUACAGCUCUUGGUACCCAUUUAUAAACCUUGGCUUCCUUGGAAAAUGGUCACAUCACUCCUAUCUUCACCUCGGUGGUUACAUUUCCAUCUUCUCUUUUCUCUAUCUUUUUGUCUUUGGCUCAAAAACUCCUCUGUGUUGUCCCCCCCCCCACGCCUGUUUUUUGUUGUUGUUUUUCCUUUUUUUUUUAAGUUUUAUCAAAGUGUAGUUGAUUUAAAACAUUGUGAUAGUUUCUGCUCUACAACAAAGUGAUUCCAUUAUAAAUAUACACACAUUCAUUCUUUUUCAGAUUCUUUUACCUUAUAUAUUAUCACAUAAUUUUGGGUAGAGUUCCCUGUGCUACACAGCAGGUCCCAAUUGGCCCAUCAAUCCUUAUACUAUAGUCUGUGGAUUUAGGCCACCCAGAUAAUCAAGCAUUAUAGCUUCCUCUCAGAAUUCUUAAUUUAAAAAUAUCUUCAAAGACUGUUUUUCCAAGUAAGUUAAUAUUCACAGUUUCCAGGGUUUAAUAUGUGGAAUUAUCUUAAUGGGAGCCACCAUUUCACCUGCUACAGUCUAAAAAUUCAUGUGUAUCCUAUAUACAAAGUAGAUUCAACAUGUCUCUAAUUUCCCUAGUCUAAACCUAUUACAACAUAAAUUCCAUGUCCUUAAUAUCAUCUACAUAUGAUGAGCUUAAAAGUUAACAUAUUAUCACUCAUUUAACUCUUAUGUCAGAUAUAGGAUAGACUCUGGGAAUGAUCCACCUUGAGACAAAAUUGCUCUCCAUUUGUGGAAUUGUCAAAAUGGAAAAAAAAGUUAUCUGCUUCCAAAAUACCAAGGGGGCACUAUCAUAGGAUAGACAUUUUCAUUCCAAAAAGGAGAAGUUGUAAGUAAUAAUGUUUUAAAAAGUCACCAGUCCAAGCAAAUUUAAAAUCUAGCAAGACACAUUUUCUUAUGUUUCAAGGCCUUAGCAUAAUUAUUUGAUACUCAUAGCUCCACUGUCUGGGCAUGUGUCUCCACUGUUUGGGCCUGAGACUCCAUUUGUCUCGAUUUCAAUAUUGUUCUUCCUUUUCCUUGAGGAAUCACACGUUUGCUGCUAAGUAGCUGUACAUUCCUGUUGCUUAUCUACAGAAUUUUGGAACUCUAACAGUUUUCUAUCAUAUCUUCCUAACCAGCUGCUUCCAAAACAAGCUGGCCUUAUUCCUGCUGGUAUAACAGUCUCAAUGACCCUGUAGGUCUUCUGUGUAUGUCAUGGUAAUCCAGAUCAUUAGACAAGAAGGUCUUUAACACAUCUUUCUUGGAUAACCCUAUCUCUGUUCUUAAUUUCAUUAAAGUCUUUGAAUUGAGCCAUAAUUCAUAAACUUUCAGCAUAAAGUUGUCCAGACAUACUCUUGGCUCUAUCUCCAGAGCACACUGUCUCAACAGUGAACCUUCAAACUUAACAGUUUUUGUUUGUUUUGCAAUUUGGACAGGCUGAGAAAUUCUCAAUUCACCAACUGAUGAUUGUUUUUUGCUUAACAGUUCCUUCCUCAAUUUAUCUUUUCCAUCUUACCUUUCUACUACAAACAGGAAAAGGAUACCACUAUCAAAGCUUUUGUUUGGAAAUCACCUUAGCAAAAUAUGAAAGUCCACCAUUUAAAAAAAUCUGCUUUCCGUAUAACAAGAAAAAAUAAUUCAACCAUGUUUCUAGGCACAAUGUUUCUAGGGAUUGUCUUUCCUUAGAUUUCCAAUUACUUGUUCAUCAUUUCUUUCUGGGCCAUCUCUAGAAGUACAUUUAACAUCCAAUAUUCUAUUUAUGACAAUAUAUAUUUUUCUCUAAGGAAUUACACACUCUCUACCAUGCUCCUUAUUCUCAUCUAAGUCUUCACCAGAAUUGACUUUAGCACCAACAAUCUUUUCAAAAGCAAUCCCGACAUUUUCUACCAUGCUUCUCCAAGUCCUUCCAGCCUUUAACCAUUACCUAAUUCUAAAACCACAUCUACGUAUUUAGGUAUUUGUUACAUCUAUACUCCACUUCUUGGUUCCACAAUCUGCAACAGUUUCUUUUGGCUGUUAUUAAAAAAGAAACAAGC
rnacentral:lncRNA from 1 species